AGAACGAACGCUGGCGGCAGGCCUAACACAUGCAAGUCGAACGGAUGUAGCAAUACAUUAGUGGCGCACGGGAGAGUAACGCGUGGGAACCUACCUUUUGGUUUGGGAUAACGUCGGGAAACUGACGCUAAUACCGGAUAAGCCCUUCGGGGGAAAGAUUUAUCGCCGAUAGAUGGGCCCGCGUAAGAUUAGCUAGUUGGUGAGGUAAUGGCUCACCAAGGCUACGAUCUUUAGCUGGUUUGAGAGGAUGACCAGCCUCACUGGGACUGAGACACGGCCCAGACUCCUACGGGAGGCAGCAGUGGGGAAUAUUGGACAAUGGGGGCAACCCUGAUCCAGCCAUGCCGCGUGAACGAUGAAGGCCUUCGGGUUGUAAAGUUCUUUUGGUGGGGACGAGUGAUGACGGUACCCACAGAAUAAGCACCGGCUAACUUCGUGCCAGCAGCCGC
rnacentral:rRNA from 1 species